AAAAAAAAAUAUAGAUAGAGAAAGAGAAAACGGAGAGAAAAUAGAAAAAAAUCAGUCGUCUUCUUCAUUUUUUUUUGUUCACCGGAAAAAUAUUCAGCCGCCACACCUAAUUCCAUGAACAUACUAAUCAGUAGCUUAUUUUUUCAUUCAAAAAAAAAAACCACCAUAUCUUCAAUCAUCUCUUGCAUCCACUAAAAGCACCCAGAUACAUCAUCAGCCGCAAUACACCUAGUAGCUAAGACUAAUACACGUAGAAUCUACACCAUCAGCGCCGCAACACCAAACUGCUAGCUUUCCUUUGAUAGAAAAACGAUGGAGCUUGUUGAUUCUGCUACCCUUAGUAGCUAGCUGGGAGUUGAUGCCAUAGUUAUUUCUUUUCUUUCGAAAUCAUUUCAGCUCCUUCCUUCACGUUAAAAACCAACAACUCCAUUAACACCAAAUGAACAAAGCUCCAUAGACGUAGCUCCACCAUAAGUUGAUCAAAGCUCCGACGUUUUACCACCGAACACACUGUUACUCCACCUAUCAGCUGCUCUUCAGCAUUGAGAUCUGUUAGGAUUAGGGGUUUGUUAUUGAAGUUUGGAGGCGUCAAGUUUCUCCGUCGAGGCUGUGGAAAGGGGUUUCAGUUCGCUGGCUUUUGUGUUCCAGUAAAUCUUGUGCUAUUGAAGAAACCAUGUUCAAAGAUUUCAAACGAGCUUGACUUUGCUGUAUUCACAAUGGUUUAUUAUUAACCCAAUUUCACAAGAGUAUUUCGGCUUUGUUCCAGGUGCACAGGGAGACACACUUGAUCCAUAGCUGCUUAUUCAGAGAUUGCAUAGCAGAGCUCUAUUUCUUUCGGAGCCGUAGCUUUUGGGUACUUAUUCUUUUGUGUAUAUAAUUAUGGGCAUAGCGGGGUCCUGUCCCGCUCAUACGAUAUGUCAUACUCUUAGAGGCUCGUAGUCAUGUGUAUGUGGGUAGAGAUGUUCGGCCAUGUCGGCCCAUGUUUUGUAUAUCUUUUGUUAGCCA